GGCGGAGGAUGCAAGCGUUAUCCGGAAUGAUUGGGCGUAAAGCGUCUGCAGGUGGCAGUUCAAGUCUGCUGUCAAAGACCGGGGCUUAACUUCGGAAAGGCAGUGGAAACUGAACAGCUAGAGUAUGGUAGGGGCAGAGGGAAUUCCCGGUGUAGCGGUGAAAUGCGUAGAGAUCGGGAAGAACAUCGGUGGCGAAGGCGCUCUACUGGACCACAACUGACACUCAGGGACGAAAGCUAGGGGAGCGAAUGGG
rnacentral:rRNA from 1 species